ACGCUCAGAGACGCUCUCGGGGCGUCGGCGUCGGUAGCGUCGCACUGUCACUACCAUGUCAACAGCUAAUUGUCAGCAAUUCUUAGCAAUCAGUGAUCGAGUAGUGAUUGUGUGGCGGUUUUUCUGCAUCUAGUUAGUGAUUUGUCAUCAUUUGCUCCUCGUCGGAUCUCUGGGCUGUCAGAGAGCGGUGCCUUGAGUUGGUCAGAUUUCCACCGCAAACAUUGGCCGUCUCAGGAGAGUGCUUGGGUUAGAGGUGUGCACGGUUAGCACUGUUAAUAAUUGAUUCACUUCUUCAACAAAGUUUCACGGCCGCAUCAAGGAAAUAGAACAAGAAAUUUCCAAACGUAAUCAAGCUCCACUAAUGGCUUCUGUACUGGUGCGUGAGUCGAUCUGAUAAGAGUCGGCAUGUCUUUGAAGCACGCCCACCUCGCGCCCUCGCCGUUAUCAACUGUUAUCUCACUUGGAAUAUUUACAUACCUAUGCAUGGAGUGACAAAAAUCGGCCAUUUUAUCAUUAUCUGAUUUACUGUAGACUCGUUAUAAUUCGAAAUUAAAUUUUAUUAAGUAUGUAUUGAGUUAAUAUUUCAAGUUCUGUGAUAACGAUCUGGAGUUUGUCAUGUGCCUACUUGUAAACAGGCGGCUAAAUAAAUAAUUUAUCAUUGGGCUUAUUUUACAAGUCAAAGGAGAAAGCUGCUUAAUAAAUAAUUUUCAGAUUGCAAAACUUGUAGCGGAAUUUUAAAACAACUUAAAUAUUCAUUAAAAAACAAAAAUGACAUCUUACAUUUACGAAAUUUACAAAUUAAUAAAACUCAUUGAAAUGAAUAUUUUUUCCGUAUUUUCGUAGGUGUUAGUUUGUGCUAAGAUUAAAAUGUGUUCUUUCAUGUUUACCAGACAAUACAUCACAACUACAAAAUGUUAUUGUAUUAAUAUAUUAUUUAAAUAAAAAGUAUGUACUCAUGUAGGUAUUAGCACUUUCAAAACUAUAAAGACGACAACGUCGUAUUUUACCAAAUUAUUGUUUUUUAAAUAAGGUUGAUAAAAUUGUAAAGUAAGUGUAUAAAUAAUUUUUAACAACUAAUUUUGAGAAAGAAUGCAAUGUUGGCGCAUUUAUAGUUUUGAAACAGUUAAUACACUGGUUAAUAACACAGAUUUAAAUUUAAUUAAUUUUAUAGGUUUAAUAAAAAUUAAAUAUUUACUUUACCUAACGUAUAUUUAUGCACAUAAAAUGUUAGAAACAUCUCGCCAAAAAAACAGUAUUAAAUUUUAUUUGCGUAAUUUUCUAUACAAGGUGAGCUUGCAAAAGAAAUUUUUAAUGUAUUUCAAAAACUAAUAUAAACACACAAAACUCAACGUUUGCAGUUUAAAUUUUUCUCUGUGCUUGUAAUUUUUUCUGAUUUUUUUUUAGCAUUUUUUAAUAAUAAAAUUAAAUAUCUAAGAACCGGUUUAUAGAAGCGUCAUUAAUUUAAUUCGCAAUUAAAUGCGUGAUUAGCUGAUCACGUGACCAAAAUGAUUCAAUUUGAUUGGUCUAUUCGCGUUGCUAACUUUUACCAAGAAAUUAAAAUUUAAUAAAGCUUCUAUCUAUAAACCGGCCCUAAGUAUAUGAAAAUAUUAAUUAACUAAUAGAAAUUUUAUGACUUCUCAUGACAUUCUACAACAAGCAGUGUUAAAUCAUUCUUUGUGCAAAAAAUAAAUACGUAGAAAAAAUGUCACGUUUUCAUUUAAUUAAUUAAUUUUGAGCUUUUUGUCAAAUUUUCUAAUUUCUCUAAAUCCUCUAAUCAUAAUUUGCUUUAGAAUGACAUAAAAAUUAUAAUUUUUUGUUUAACGGAAUUAAUACAAGUUACUUAAUUAAUUAAUAAUUAAUUUUAACUAAGCAAGCAUACAGAAUUGUUAAAAAAUUCUGAUUUUUUUUGUGCGAUUUUUAGUUUUUGGAACACACACUACUUUUAGCAGGCUAGAAAUAUAAUAAAAAUAUUUUUUGUUAUUUUCUAGUUUCACGUGUAGAUUACCAUAAAAUUUUGUUAGUUUUGCUCUUAAAACCGUUUAAAGUUUUUUUAGGCAAUAAUUAUUUAUUGUUUUCUACAUUAUUUUGAUGUGUGUACAUUUUAGUUCUUUUUUGUUAUGUUUUUUUUUGUUUGAUAAUAAUUAUUAUACUACAAAUAACUUAUCUGCUGUAGAGUGUAGGUAUACUUAUGCGGAGAUUGUAAAAGUCGUACAAAUACAAGUAUAAAAGUAUAUGAGUACAAAUACAACGCACAACAUAUUUUAUUAUUUAUAUUAACUAAAUUAAUAUUAAAAUUUUGAUAACU